AUGGCUUUCCACACUCGCUCUAACAGCUUUCCCUUCAAGCCCACACCCAGUCGUUCAAGAAAUUGAUGAACAUUUGUGUAGAUUGAGGUCUUCUGAGGCCACCUCUACAUCAUCAUCAUCAAUCAGCCACAAACUGAGUGGCCUCCAAAACUUGCAUGAUUGUGUUGAUAGGUUGCUUUAGUUGCCCCUCACUCAACAAGCCUUGGCACAAGAGCAGAAUGAGAAAUGGACUAAUGAGCUAUUAGAUGGCUCUCUGAGGCUCUUGGAUAUUUGUAGCGCUGCCAAGGAUGCCUUGUUGCAAACCAAGGAAUGCAUACAGGACCUUCAAUCAAUCAUGCGAAGAACACAGAGAGGUGAAUGUGGAGCACUCACAACUGAGGUCAGGAAAUACUUGACCUCUAGGAAGAUGGUGAAAAAGGCAAUCCACAAAGCUAUGGGAAAUGUCAAGGGAUCGAGUUUCUCAUCCCUCAACAAGGACAAUGAGACUAUUGCCAUUGUUAGCACUUUGAGAGAUGUUGAAGCAGUCACUUUCACUGCGUUCGAGUCCCAUCUUUCUUUCAUCUCCGGUCCAAAAUCACAGCCAAGCAGCUGGUCAUUGGUCUCCAAGAUGAUGCAAUCAAAAAAAGUAGAUUGUGUGGAAGAAAGUGAAGCAAAUGAGUUUGUAAAGGUGGAUGGUGGCCAGCUUCUCAAUUUCUCUUUCAGGUUGCCUUUUUGA
rnacentral:lncRNA from 1 species